CUGGUAAUCAAAAUACCUUACCCUCAGUCUAUUCUUCUGUUUUCCAAUUACCGGUAAAAAAAAACUUUUAAAACAAGCUUCAUUUAAUCAAAAUGACCCAUAAUUUGCUUGAACACAUGUACAGUGGAUCAAUUCUUUUAGUACAACAUUGCAUUGGUUGUUUUGGAAUGGAAUUGUCCCAUGGCUAGCAUGUGCUAACAAGUUUUAAAAUCUGUAAAACCAUGCCUGUCUUACAAGUUCAUCUCAAAAUUCCAUGCCUUGCUUCCUUUAAGCCUGCCUCACCAUGUAAAGCAGUUUUUGUUACUCAUGCAGGUUUGCUGCCACAGCCACAUAACUGUUUACAUAUUGUAUCUGUGGUGAACAUCUGUUCCAGAUGUAUUUGUACCUUGCAAAGCGUAACUGGCAGAGGACAUCAUCAUGUCUACCUUCAGAACACCUAUGGUUCUUCACUGUUCUUAAUGCUGCUGGGACAUUUACUACUCUCUGAUCAUGCAUAGCUAUCAGUACAUCACAUAAAUGGCUGUUACUUUUUUCUUUUUUGGAAGAGUGCUCCGCUUAGGAUUUUUGGGCCAAACUGUACAAUAACACAGAGGCAUUUUUGUAGCAGACAAUUAAAAAUGAGGAAGUGCAGUGUGGCUUCUAAUGUUUAUUUCUAUUUUUUUCCUUUUAUAUAAAAACAAAGAGUGGUUCUGUAAAUCCUAUCCCCUGAGAUGUGUCACAAAUCUAUGUGGCAACUGCAGUUUCUGCCACAUCCUGGACAAAUAUCACUCAAGAGAGAACAUGGGAAGGAAGUAGAUUCCCGUAUAUGGAGCAGCCAGAGCAGAUUGUGGUUUCUUAAAGGGGGAAUUCCCAAAUGAUAGGACUUGAGAUCCCUCCACCUAAUCUGACACAAAAGAAUGAUUAACCCCUGAUGCUUGCUGUGAGUGUUGUGGCCUGGCAGUGGGCAUUCCCCUAUUUUGACAUCAGCUUUAUAAAAAGACAGCCAGAGAUACAUCUUCAGAGGAGACAAGCAAUGACAGUACAAGGCAAUACUCUACACUGUCAUAGAAUCACUGUAAGGCAGGAAAUACUGAAGUGGAGAGGAGAAAGAUAUGCAUCUUGCAACCAAGGUCUGGCUACAGAGCAGAGAAUAGGUCCUCAUACCUAGAGAUUCUGCUUCCAUGGGUAGAGACCACUCCUCAGCUGUAAGAUCAAGAUUAACAGGAAAGUAACAGAGAAUACAACACCCACUCCCUUCAUUUUGCUGAUCCUCCUUGGCUGUUUUAUAGAGAAAUGAACACCUCUUGUAUCUCCUCCCAAAAGAAAUUCACUAAAAUGGAAUGAGUUACCACUGUCCUGUGUCAGUGAUGGAAAUGGACUUCCCAGACCAUCCAAAUGGAUGUUCAUUCUACUUAGAUUCAGGAAGGGAUUCAUUUAAGAAAAUGGAUUCCCAUCACACAGACAUCAGCUAAUAAACAUUUGUUUAGAAUCAGGUUCCAUAUUACAGUGAAAGCCUGUGUAUUAUGCAUUAUGUGAGAUGUUUUGGGAAACCUAGUGAUUGUAAUGGUAAGCUGAUCACUAACACAGAACAAAAUGUUUUGAGUGGGUUGCAAAAGGAAGAUAUGGGGGGGGGAAACCUUGUUAAAAAGAAAAUAUAGCUGGUGUGGGCACUGCAGUUGAGGAAGAUUUUUUUCAAUCAACCUCUGCAGUCAGUGUGUCAUGGUUGGGAGAUUGCAAAUGCUCCUGUAAAAAAUAAACCUAACACAGUACUUUGAUAGGAUUGAAACUUGGUAUUUCUAUGAUAUCUGUAAUGAUUUUAAAUAUUUGUAAAUGUUUCAAAUUCAGAAAUAAAUGGUUGAAAAAUUUAAAUCUGUGGGAAAGUUCUGCUUCAUAAUCUGAUGUACCAUUGGAACAGAAACUAUUUUCUCUAGUCACUGUCAUGAGUUGGUUCCUCUAUUUGUGUACGCAUACAAAUAGCACAGAUCCUGACUUUUUCUAUCCAAACUGUCCCGGCCAGCUUCCAGCCCAAAUAACAGCAGAAAAAGUCUGUUCUUAUUUGGGGCAGAAAAAAGCCACCCCUUUGCCUCUAGAGCUUUAUUAUGUUUGUUAUAUAGCAGACUACUUAGCUAAAGAAACUCAUGUUUGGUAAAAGAGAAAAGAAACUACCUGGGAUCUUCAUUUGCAACUAUGAGGGUGUACAGACUGGCACUUUGUGCCGGCCUGAACCCGAAUUACGGUUCCGUGAGGGCUGAAAGUUUACACAUUCAAAGCCCUUGUGGUGGCACCCGGACACCAUCUUGGUUGCGACCGUCCAGAUGGUGCGUGCCAUGAUGACGUUGCUUGUGUGCAACGCCCAAAACACAAUGCAUGCAAGGGGCACCAUAAGGCCGUGCCAUGGUGCUUAAGGCACCCCUGUAGCGGAGGAAAGAGGAGCCACAUUUCAUGGGUCCUUUUUGUACCAGGUUGGUGGUGGGGCAUGCAGUUGCUGUGUGCCCAACCCAGCACUUCCAGGGGCGGCAUAGAGCUUCCCCUUACAGGCUGUUUGUACAGACCCUAUUUCACUUUCAAUGGUUGUGAAUAAUUCCAUUGCUAAUACCUUUAUUGCUUCUACAUUUGCAUUGGAUGUGAUUUAUUUUCAGACAUUAGUUUCAUGACACAUGAAUUACUGCAGAUUACAAAUUUUUCCUUUC